rnacentral:rRNA from 1 species
CAGCCGCCGCGGUAAUACAGAGGGUGCAAGCGUUAAUCGGAAUUACUGGGCGUAAAGCGCGCGUAGGUGGUUCGUUAAGUUGGAUGUGAAAUCCCCGGGCUCAACCUGGGAACUGCAUCCAAAACUGGCGAGCUAGAGUAGGGCAGAGGGUGGUGGAAUUUCCUGUGUAGCGGUGAAAUGCGUAGAUAUAGGAAGGAACACCAGUGGCGAAGGCGACCACCUGGGCUCAUACUGACACUGAGGUGCGAAAGCGUGGGGAGCAAACAGGAUUAGAUACCCCUGUAGUCCCUGUCUCUUAUAU